AUCAUACUCCCUCCGUUCGGAAUUACUUGUCACAAAAAUGGAUGUAUCUACAACUAAAAUACAUCUAGAUACAUUCAUUUAAUUGGACGAGUAAUUCCGAACGGAGGGAGUAGAAC
rfam:Triticum aestivum genome assembly, contig: Triticum_aestivum_CS42_TGACv1_scaffold_033981_1BL